AUUGAACGCUGGCGGCAGGCCUAACACAUGCAAGUCGAACGAGUGGCGGACGGGUGAGUAAUGUCUGGGAAACUGCCUGAUGGAGGGGGAUAACUACUGGAAACGGUAGCUAAUACCGCAUACCAUCGGAUGUGCCCAGCUGGGAUUAGCUAGUAGGGGGGGUAAAGGCUCACCUAGGCGCCGAGCACUAGCUGGUCUGAGAGGAUGACAAGCCACGCUGGAACUGAUACAGGGGCCAGACUCGGACGGUAGGCAGCAGUGGGGAAUAUUGCACAGUGGGCGCAAGCCUGAUGCAGCCAUGCCGCGUGUAUGAAGAAGGCCUUCGGGUUGUAAAGUACUUUCAGCGGGGAGGCGUUACCCGCAGAAGAAGCACCGGCUAACUCCGUGCCAGCAGCCGCGGUAAUUC
rnacentral:rRNA from 1 species